rnacentral:rRNA from 1 species
UACAGAGGGUGCGAGCGUUGUCCGGAAUCACUGGGCGUAAAGGGCGCGUAGGUGGCCCGACAAGUCAAUGGUGAAAGUUCGACGCUUAACGUCGAAUCGGCCACUGAUACUGUUGGGCUGGAGCACUGUAGAGGCUCAUGGAAUUCCCGGUGUAGCGGUGAAAUGCGUAGAGCUCGGGAAGAACAUCGGUGGCGAAAGCGCUCUACUGGACGACAACUGACACUCAGGGACGAAAGCUAGGGGAGCGAAUGGG